ACCCGGCUGGUCUAAUGGUAAGAUUCUGUGGGCGAGUGCGGAAAACGCAGCAGAGAUCUAGGUUCAAAUCCUAGGCUGGGUC